UUGAAAGGGAAACGAUUGAAUGCAGNCGGACUCUCGAGAAAUCAGCUCUCUGAGUNUGNNCUUGUGGGCGUGCCUGAGCUUUAAAACCUGGCUGUUUACAUUUCUGUGCUUUUUGGGUGUACUUUUUCGUAUGGUAGGCCAACGUCAGUUUCGAUAACCAUAAAAUGAUUGGAGGAAUGUAGCUUCGAUCUCGUAUUGAAGUGUUAUAGCCUUUGGUAAAUGUGGUUAUCGAAACUGAGGAUUGCAACGAAUACCCUUUGGGCUAUCCGUCUGACCUCUGAAAGUUGCUUAGGUGCCGAAAGCUUGCUUAUGUCAUUUAAGACGACGGUUAAAAGGUUAGAACGCGAUUACAUUCGUUAAGGAUGUUGACGUA
rnacentral:rRNA from 1 species